UACGGAGGGUGCAAACGUUGCUCGGAAUUAUUGGGCGUAAAGCGUACGUAGGCGGUCCAGCAAGUCGGGUGUGAAGGCCCUCGGCUUAACCGAGGAAGUGCAUUCGAAACUACUGGACUUGAAUACUGGAGAGGAUCGCGGAAUUCCCGGUGUAGAGGUGAAAUUCGUAGAUAUCGGGAGGAACACCAGUGGCGAAGGCGGCGAUCUGGACAGAUAUUGACGCUGAUGUACGAAAGCGUGGGGAGCAAACAGG
rnacentral:rRNA from 1 species